GCAUCGAUGAAGAACGCAGCGAAAUGCGAUAAGUAAUGUGAAUUGCAGAAUUCAGUGAAUCAUCGAAUCUUUGAACGCACAUUGCGCCCCUUGGUAUUCCGAGGGGCAUGCCUGUUCGAGCGUC
rnacentral:rRNA from 1 species